AUUAGAUGAUGAAUCCAUCCCAAACCUGAUUCUAUGUGAGUGAAACUCUUAUACAGAUCUGACUUCUGAUAA